rnacentral:lncRNA from 1 species
UGGGGAUAUAAAACCAGACAUUCGAGCCAGCAACAGCUACCCUCUUUGGGUCCCCUCCCUUUGUAUGGGAGCUCUGUUUUCACUCUAUUAAAUCUUGCAACUGCACUCUCUUCUGGUCUGUGCUUGUUAUGGUUUGAGCUGAGCUUUCGAUUGCUGUCUACCACUGCUGUUUGCCACCAUUGCAGACCCGCUGCUGACUUACAUCCCUCCGGAUCUGGCAGGGUGUCCGCUGUGCUCCUGAUCCAGUGAGGUGCCCAUUGCCACUCCCUGUCGGGCUAAAGGCUUGCCAUUGUUCCUGCAUGGCUAAGUGCCCGGGUUUGUCCUAAUCGAGCUGAACACUAGUCACUGGGUUCCUCGGUUCUCUUCUGUGACCCACAGCUUCUAAUAGAGGUAUAACACUCACUGCAUGGCCAAGAUUCCAUUCCUUGGAAUCCAUGAGGCCAAGAACCCCAGGUCAGAGAACACUAGGCUUGCCGCCAUCUUGGAAGCAGCCCGCCACCAUCUUGGGACCUCUGGGAGCAAGGACGCCCCCCCUCCCCCGCUGCUGGUAACAUUUUGGCAACCACGAAGCAACCUCCAAAGCAGUGUGUGCUCCAUGUGGACACUGACUGCUAAGAAGACAGAAAAGACAGAAAAGAAAACCAAACAACAACAACAACAAAUAGGACACAGCAUUGAAUAUUUUAGUCAAAUUCUUCUGGGACUGAAGUAUCCAGAUAAGCACUUUUAUGUUUCUCUUCCUUUUUAGGAAUAGAUGUUGAUUUAAGUACACUAGACAUUCAAUUGGAUAAAUGGAAAGGAGAAACUAUCAGUCCCAUUAUUGACUCUAAUGAAUGUUAGAUUAAUUAAUGUUGAAGAAAAUAAAUACAAAACGUGUUAGAAGUUUUAGAAUGCAUUUUGAAAAUCUUCCUGGAAAUCAUUAAAUAAAAAUAGUAGGGGUCUUUGGUAAAGGAAAAUGUUUUCGUAUACACAGACACAUGCAUUUUCUAGCUAUCUGCUUAGCUCAUGUAAGAGAAUAAAUUAGAAUUAAUAGUAAAUUAAGUUAUAAUAUAAGAAGUUCUUACCUUCUUAAAGGUUCUUGUCAUUCAAAUAAAGACACUUACACAAUGUUAUUAGUAAUUUCUUUCUUCUUCAUCCAGUGAAGGAAUUGGAGUAAAUUGUCUAAUAUGUGGAACCUUUGAAAAUACCUGCAACUAACAUAUUUUAUCAAAUUAAAUGUUUCAUUUAAAUCUUAUUUAUAUGAAUAUUGCAACUUAUCAGUAAAGAAACUGAAGAUAAGUUACAUAAUUAUCAAGUGCCAAAAAACAGGAUUUAUGUCUGCUUAUUCUAAAAGCUAGGAACUGUU